rnacentral:rRNA from 1 species
CCUACGGGUGGCAGCAGUGGGGGAUAUUGCGCAAUGGGCGCAAGCCUGACGCAGCAACGCCGCGUGAGGGAAGAAGGAUUUCGGGUUGUAAACUUCUUUUCUGAGGGACGAAGAAAUUAACGUUACCUCAGGAGUAAGCCACGGCUAACUCCGUCCCAGCAGCCGCGGUAAUACGUAGGUGGCAACCGUUAUCCGGAUUUCUUGGGUGAAAAGGGCGAGAAGGCGGGAAAGCGAGUCAGAUGUAAAAACUCAGGGCUCAACCCCGAGACUGCAUUUGAAACUGUUUGGCUUGAGUGCUGGAGAGGUAAGCGGAAUUCCGUGUGUAGCGGUGAAAUGCGUAGAUAUACGGAGGAACACCAGUGGCGAAGGCGGACUGCUGGACAUUAACUGACGCUGAGGCGCGAAAGCGUGGGGAGCAAACAGGAUUAGAUACCCGUGUAGUC